GUAGUCAUAUGCUUGUCUCAAAGAUUAAGCCAUGCAUGUCUAAGUAUAAGCAAUUGUACUGCGAAACUGCGAAUGGCUCAUUAAAUCAGUUAUCGUUUAUUUGAUAGUGCCUAUCCUACUUGGAUAACCGUGGUAAUUCUAGAGCUAAUACAUGCUAAAAAUCCCGACUUCGGAAGGGAUGCAUUUAUUGGAUACAGAACCAACGCCCUCCGGGGCUUUCUGGUGAAUCACAAUAACUUCGCGGAUCGCACGGCCUUGUGCCGGCGAUGGUUCAUUCAAAUUUCUGCCCUAUCAACUUUCGACGGCUGGGUCUUGGCCAGCCGUGGUGACAACGGGUAACGGAGGGUUAGGGCUCGACCCCGGAGAAGGAGCCUGAGAGACGGCUACUACAUCCAAGGAAGGCAGCAGGCGCGCAAAUUACCCAAUCCCGACUCGGGGAGGUAGUGACAAUAAAUACUGAUACAGGGCUCUUUUGGGUCUUGUAAUCGGAAUGAGUACAAUUUAAAUCCCUUAACGAGGA
rnacentral:rRNA from 1 species